GCUGGCGGGUCGGUGUUGUAUGUUGGCAUACCUUUGGCAUGGUUCGCACCUCCGAACCAACUCAGCCGCGUCCUUCUUCAUAGUGGGCCAGUAGUAACCCUGCCGCAGGACUUUGUAAGCCAGGGACUUGCCCCCCAAGUGAUCACCACAGAUCCCUUCAUGUACUUCCCUGAGGGCAUAGUCCGCAUCGGUCAGCCCCAGGCACUUCAGCAAGGGAA
rnacentral:lncRNA from 1 species